UAAGGAAUAUUGCUCAAUGGGAGAAAUCCUGAAGCAGCAACGCCGCGUGGAGGAUGAAGGGUCUAUGACUUGUAAACUCCUGUAAAGAAGGAAAAAAUUCCCAUUUGAUGGGAGAUGAUGGUACUUCUGGAGUAAGCCCCGGCUAACUACGUGCCAGCAGCCGCGGUAAUACGUAGGGGGCAAGCGUUGUCCGGAUUUACUGGGUGUAAAGGGUGCUCAGGCGGAUUUGUAAGUCAGAGGUGAAAUCUUACAGCUUAACUGUGAAACUGCCUUUGAUACUGCAAGCCUAGAUUAUGGAAGAGAGUGAUGGAAUAUCUGGUGUAGCAGUGAAAUGCGUAGAUAUCAGAUAGAACACCAAUAGCGAAGGCAGUCACUUGGUCCAUUACUGACGCUAAAGCACGAAAGCGUGGGUAGCAAACA
rnacentral:rRNA from 1 species